UCCCUUCGCUUAAUAACGUUAAACGUGGUGAUGAAUCCCCCUACGCGGAGGGGCUACCAGCCACAUCUUUUGGGGUGAAAGCGAGUUGUGCGGGCUGGCGCGCACUCACCGGGAGGCACCCGGCAUCACCGAAAUAUCCUUAGCCAGAGACGGGUUAUUUGGCCGGUCUCUGGCU
rfam:Enterobacter cloacae S611 EDP2.NODE_1923, whole genome shotgun sequence.